GUAAUGAGGCUCAAGAGCUGACGCACCUGUGCUUUUACACCUGCACUGAUGAGGUGCUUCAAGACGAGGAGGAGGCAGCGGCGGCUCUUCCACCACUAUCCCAGCAACAAGUGAAGUUGAGGCGGACAGCUCCUUGCAGAGUCAUGGCUGUUGUUUGCUAGUCCUGGAGUGUACCUGCUUGGUUUGUCAUGGACGCAUGUGGACAAAAUGAAAGAGUGAAGCGCUUAAUUGACGCUGAGAACUUGGAGGAACGCUCCGAGAAGCUCCGAGGAGGGCAACGCUGUGCUACCAUGGUUUUGAGGGUCGUGAGAGGAGCUGAAGCUAAUCCCGUUUGACAUCAGGCGAAAGGCGGCGUACGUCCUGGACAGAUCACCAGUCCAUGACAGAUGAAAUCCACCCCCUGCCCUUUCCUUGUCUCCCCUGUCUUUGUAGGACAGCGCCACCAUCCUGCAUCAAUUAUGAAUGGCUGUCGUGCCUGAAGGGGGCAGGAAGAAAGCAAGAUUUACAGCGAUGAUCUAAAAACACAAAAACAAGACUAACAAAGAGUUCCACAAUGCCGUUGUUUUAACCCUCUGUUUCCUGGAGACUCUUCAGCCCAGAGAGAGAGUGCUACAAAGACGAUAGUAGAAUGAAUGGAUUCUAUGUUUCUGGAUUUUGAAGUUAGGCCAUCUGACAGAGUGAGGACUUCCAGGAAGAUACAUUUCGCUUGCACCCUUUUUUUUUCUACACGAGCCGUUAUCCUAUAUAUAUAUAUCUAUAUCUAUAUACAUAUAUCUAUCU